rnacentral:lncRNA from 1 species
UCCUCAAGACUGCGAUCGGACACCCGUGCUGUCCCUCCUAAAGUGUUUUGAUUUGCUGCCAGCGCUGCGAUUGUAGCUACUCCUGCAUCUUCUGCUUGGUGUCCGCCUUGGCGAUAGGUAUGAACUUCCCGGCCAACACUCUGGCUCCGCGCUGCGGUUACGAGUUGAUUCUGCGUGGCAUAAUAUGCCAGAAGCGCUGCUAGGAGUAGUUGGC